rnacentral:lncRNA from 1 species
UACCCACCUUGUAUCCAUCUCGGAUCGGUUUGGGAUCUAAGGAGGGGUCGGGUCGGGUAGGGUAUACCCAAAUCGAUCUCCCCUUCUCCUUUCCCCAUCUCUGCCACCACCCGUGGCCCAUCGAUCAUCCCCAAACCCUUCAAAAUAUCAUGCUUCCACCAAGAUUGAGCUCUCAAAACCUCAAUGGACCAACUCACACCACCACAACUCGCACAAAAUCCCAUAUGCUUGAGAAAAAACCCCAACCAAAACCUAGAAAAUCCCUCCAAUCUCCCUCAGGUGCUCUCUUUCCCCAAUCGGGACCGACUCACACCGCCAA